rnacentral:rRNA from 1 species
GAUGAACGCUGGCGGCGUGCCUAAUACAUGCCAGUCGAGCGAACGGACGAGAAGCUUGCUUCUCUGAUGUUAGCGGCGGACGGGUGAGUAACACGUGGAUAACCUACCUAUAAGACUGGGAUAACUUCGGGAAACCGGAGCUAAUACCGGAUAAUAUUUUGAACCGCAUGGUUCAAAAGUGAAAGACGGUCUUGCUGUCACUUAUAGAUGGAUCCGCGCUGCAUUAGCUAGUUGGUAAGGUAACGGCUUACCAAGGCAACGAUGUAUAGCCGACCUGAGAGGGUGAUCGGCCACACUGGAACUGAGACACGGUCCAGACUCCUACGGGAGGCAGCAGUAGGGAAUCUUCCGCAAUGGGCGAAAGCCUGACGGAGCAACGCCGCGUGAGUGAUGAAGGUCUUCGGAUCGUAAAACUCUGUUAUUAGGGAAGAACAUAUGUGUAAGUAACUGUGCACAUCUUGACGGUACCUAAUCAGAAAGCCACGGCUAACUACGUG